rnacentral:rRNA from 1 species
UACAGAGGGGGCAAGCGUUAUUCGGAAUUAUUGGGCGUAAAGGGCUCGUAGGCGGCCAACUAAGUCAGACGUGAAAUCCCUCGGCUUAACCGGGGAACUGCGUCUGAUACUGGAUGGCUUGAGUUCGGGAGAGGGAUGUGGAAUUCCAGGUGUAGCGGUGAAAUGCGUAGAUAUCAGGAGGAACACCGAUGGCGAAGGCAGCUCGCUGGGACGGUACUGACGCUGAGGCGCGAAAGCGUGGGGAGCAAACAGG